rnacentral:tRNA from 1 species
GCCUUCGUGGUGUAGUGAUCUACGCACUCGGCGCGUAUUCGAGAGGUCCGUGGUUCGAGUCCCGGCGAGGCCA